AUCUUUUUCAAGUGACCAAGGAUGUCCGAUUACAGUAUUUUAUUUUUACUAGCGGUUGCGGUAUUUUUCCAUAUUCUUACUUCAGUGAAGGGUUUGAAAUAUAAUUCUCGAAUACCCAUUGAAAAAAGAGGAGUUGCUCCAGAUCCGAAUUGCAAGUGCAGUCCGUGGGAGUAUGUGGAUCAGUGUGGGGAGGACUGCAGACAGUUAAGGUGGAGGAACUGUGAGAACGGCUGCGCUUCUGAGGAUGAGGAUGU